rnacentral:rRNA from 1 species
GAGUUUGAUCCUGGCUCAGAUUGAACGCUGGCGGCAUGCCUUACACAUGCAAGUCGAACGGCAGCACGGGAGCUUGCUCCUGGUGGCGAGUGGCGAACGGGUGAGUAAUGCAUCGGAACGUAUCCUGGAGUGGGGGAUAACGUAGCGAAAGUUACGCUAAUACCGCAUAUUCUGUGAGCAGGAAAACGGGGGACCUUCGGGCCUCGCGCUCUUGGAGCGGCCGAUGUCGGAUUAGCUAGUUGGUGAGGUAAAGGCUCACCAAGGCGACGAUCCGUAGCAGGUCUGAGAGGAUGAUCUGCCACACUGGAACUGAGACACGGUCCAGACUCCUACGGGAGGCAGCAGUGGGGAAUUUUGGACAAUGGGGGCAACCCUGAUCCAGCCAUGCCGCGUGAGUGAAGAAGGCCUCGG